rnacentral:rRNA from 1 species
GGAUGCGAUCAUACCAGCACUAAAUCAACGGAUCCCAUCAGAACUCCGAAGUUAAGCGUGCUUGGGCGAGAGUAGUACUNNNN